GUCUCUUCGAAGACAUCCGCUCAAAUUAGAACGAUACAGAAAAGAUCAGCAUAGUCCCUGCGCGAGGAUGACACGAACAAAUCAAAAAAUGGUCCAAAUUAGU